UCGGGACCGCCUAGCAACUCGUCUCUCAUUGGUCCACUUUCCGCCCACCUCCGACCAAUGGCGUGCGAGCCGCCAUGCGGAAGUUGGCGAAAUCGUCGGAGCGGUAAAAUGACGACGAAGAGAAAGAAGGAGGAGGCUGAGGACAGCCUCGACACUGAGACUAAGUUUUGGCAAGAUUAUGUUUAAAGAGUGAGAAGUGUAUUCCUGGGAACUUCUUCAAUCGCUGUCUCCUGAAACCAACACGACUUGAAUCAAGAGAGGUUUGGGGCAAGCUGAAGCCUCUUCCAGCUCCUUUGAAGUGUAAAGAGGCUACAUCUUGGACUGGUCGCCAGUCUAUUGCAUAUAAUAUAAAUGUGCCAGCCCUCAAGGAUUUUCCCAAUUGUUCAUCUGAUUCUUGAAGGUUAUGAGAACGUCUCCUCGGAGGUGAUGUCAUGUCACGAUGUCAUUUGGUUUCAGCAACCCACUACACGCGUGUUUGGGGCACAGUAAGGGAAGGUGGGGUCAGCCUCACCCAUCCAAGAGAGAAGUGCGGUCCAACCCCACACUGUUGCCCGACCAGACCUCAGAAGGGGACUGCACAGCCUUACACCAGUUCUUAUGUCUUCAUAUUCUUAUCAGCUUAUCCUCAAUACUGUCGUGAGCCCAGUGUAGAUGUCAAGUCAUAAAUGCGUCAUGUGCACCCAAGACGGACAACGUCAGCUCAAUCAGAAGAGAAAUGCUCCAAUGUAGCCGAAACUGAAGACAUCUUCAUGGAUGAUGGCGAAGGUUUUGCCAAGGUCUUUGGUCCUCUUCAGCUGCAGAUCGCCCCUCUCUUCUGCAUCCACUACAACGACAGAAGGUACAGUUGUUGUUUUGCGGUGAUGUUCAAGUGCCACACUUACCCCGGUACCAUCGCCCACCCACGUGAGAAUCACAUAAGAGCCAUCGUCACCAUUAAACCCCGUCUGAAAAGCAAAACCACACCACACUGUCAAACUGGAAAACUACUUAUUUGCAUUCCUUUGCUUUACAUUUCCUCAUUAUUGCCAAUCAGUGUCGUUUUGUUCCUAUUAAAUUCAUUCUGUUGUUUUUGAUUGCAUGGAAGAAUGACGAAAAUCACAAAAUCAAGACUUAUGCACGCCAACAUGUAUUGUGUCAUACUAAAACUCCACAGAACCACAAAAACUGUAUUUAAACUUGUACAACACUAUGGACUUUGGCCUCAUUCGCAUUAAAAAAAAAAAAAAAAACACGU